AUUGAACUCUGGCGGCAGGCUUAACACAUGCAAGUCGAGCGGUAGCACAAGAGAGCUUGCUCUCUGGGUGACGAGCGGCGGACGGGUGAGUAAUGUCUGGGAAACUGCCUGAUGGAGGGGGAUAACUACUGGAAACGGUAGCUAAUACCGCAUAACGUCGCAAGACCAAAGAGGGGGACCUUCGGGCCUCUUGCCAUCAGAUGUGCCCAGAUGGGAUUAGCUAGUAGGUGGGGUAAUGGCUCACCUAGGCGACGAUCCCUAGCUGGUCUGAGAGGAUGACCAGCCACACUGGAACUGAGACACGGUCCAGACUCCUACGGGAGGCAGCAGUGGGGAAUAUUGCACAAUGGGCGCAAGCCUGAUGCAGCCAUGCCGCGUGUGUGAAGAAGGCCUUCGGGUUGUAAAGCACUUUCAGCGAGGAGGAAGGUGGUGAACUUAAUACGUUCAUCAAUUGACGUUACUCGCAGAAGAAGCACCGGCUAACUCCGUGCCAGCAGCCGCGGUAAUACGGAGGGUGCAAGCGUUAAUCGGAAUUACUGGGCGUAAAGCGCACGCAGGCGGUUUGUUUAGUCAGAUGUGAAAUCCCCGGGCUCAACCUGGGAACUGCAUUUGAAACUGGCAAGCUAGAGUCUCGUAGAGGGGGGUAGAAAUCCCCGGUGUAGCGGUGAAAUGGCGUGGAGAUCUGGAAGGAUUACCGGUGCGGAAGGCGGCCCCCCUGGACGAAGACUGACGCUCAGGUGCGAAAGCGUGGGAGCAAACAGGAUUAGAUACCCUGGUAGUCCACGCUGUAAACGAUGUCGAUUUGGAGGUUGUGCCCUUGAGGCGUGGCUUCCGGAGCUAACGCGUUAAAUCGACCGCCUGGGGAGUACGGCCGCAAGGUUAAAACUCAAAUGAAUUGACGGGGGCCCGCACAAGCGGUGGAGCAUGUGGUUUAAUUCGAUGCAACGCGAAGAACCUUACCUACUCUUGACAUCCAGAGAACUUUCCAGAGAUGGAUUGGUGCCUUCGGGAACUCUGAGACAGGUGCUGCAUGGCUGUCGUCAGCUCGUGUUGUGAAAUGUUGGGUUAAGUCCCGCAACGAGCGCAACCCUUAUCCUUUGUUGCCAGCGGUUCGGCCGGGAACUCAAAGGAGACUGCCAGUGAUAAACUGGAGGAAGGUGGGGAUGACGUCAAGUCAUCAUGGCCCUUACGAGUAGGGCUACACACGUGCUACAAUGGCAUAUACAAAGAGAAGCGACCUCGCGAGAGCAAGCGGACCUCAUAAAGUAUGUCGUAGUCCGGAUUGGAGUCUGCAACUCGACUCCAUGAAGUCGGAAUCGCUAGUAAUCGUAGAUCAGAAUGCUACGGUGAAUACGUUCCCGGGCCU
rnacentral:rRNA from 1 species